rnacentral:misc_RNA from 1 species
UGUCUGUCGUUCGGAGGGUCUUGCCGCGCGCUCGCAGGUCCUCGUUUCGACGGGCAAUCGGGAGGUGCAGGCAACCCUCUUUCAAAUAGAGGGCGGCGAAUUGAUCGGACUCGACGNCGCGCUUUCGGAGACCGCCUGGACCAUCCUCGGCGUUGCAGACGGCGAGGCCGUCAAAGUCACACAUGCCCCCGCGAUCGAAUCGUUGGCAAGCGUCCGCCGA